UACGUAGGCAGCGAGCGUUAUUCGGAGUUACUGGGCGUAAAGGGUGUGUAGGCGGUUGUUUAAGUUUGGUGUGAAAUCUCCCGGCUCAACUGGGAGGGUGCGCCGAAUACUGAAUGACUUGGAGUACGGGAGAGGAAAGUGGAAUUCCUGGUGUAGCGGUGAAAUGCGUAGAUAUCAGGAGGAACACCGGUGGUGUAGACGGCUUUCUGGACCGUAACUGACGCUGAGACACGAAAGCGUGGGUAGCAAACAGG
rnacentral:rRNA from 1 species